AUGUUUCUGGUCACAAAACAAUGACCAAGCUUCUAAAUAAAGACCUAAAUACUUCUCAUAUUAAACAAUGAAUUAAGUGUGACCUAUACAUACCUUUAAGAAAGAUGGAUAAGAACAAGUGAGAUGAUUAUUUUUACAAAAUUUUUUUUUAGAGACAAGGUCUUGCUCUGUCACCCAGGCUGGAGUGCAGUCGCAUGAUCAUAGCUCACUGCAGCCUUGAAGUCCUGGGCUCAAGCAAUCCUGACACCUCAGCCUCUCAAUCUCCACCCCUUCAAGCAAUAGCAAGAUUGAGCAGCAUUCACCGCCCAGGGAAGACAUCAAUUAUAAGCAGAAUGAAGAUAAGGAAGAGAUCAAAGGCCUGGAAGAAUACUGAGCAAGGGCAAGACUUCCCAUGCUAGGCCAGAACAGAUCUAGAGACCUGUAGGGUCGGAAGGGGAGAGAUGAAGAGGAAGCAAAGAGAGUGAAAAAAUGAGGCUGGAAGGAUGACCUCGGAAGUCACAUGCUGAAGAUGGAAGACAUGUUGUAGUGCUGCAUUGACCUGGGGCUCAGACAUCUCAGACUCUUGUAGAAAAAAAAAAAAAAAAAAAACAAGACACAACUUUAUUGGGUUUGGUCUUACUUAUUAUACAUAUAUGCAUUACUACAUUAAUAUAUCUUGUUCCAGCAGCUUAGUUUUUACUUUUAGCCUCUAGAGGAUUUAGUGAUUUAAGUAGCCAUGAAGGGUAAAGAACACCAGGGAUUUCACAAUGACUAAAUUUAACAGCACAGAUGGCAGGGUUGAUAGUGUGCCAUUAUUUGAGUUAAAGAAAAAGCAAAAGAAAUUGCAGCUCUGGGGAGAUGAUAAUAAACUCACAUUUUGAAGGAUGAAGUUUAUGUUACUUGUGGGAUAUCCUGUUGGAGAUAUUCAGUAGGUUUUUAGACAGUCCUGGAUCUGAGAAAAAUAUGAAAGGUUUAUAGAAGCCAGAUGCGGCAGGGAAUACAUAGGGAGAGGUUGUGCAGCUAGAAGAGAAGGCAGUCAAUUACAAGACCCCCAGAAACCAAAAGCAAUAAAUAAAUAAAUAAGGAAGACUGUCAUAAAAACAAUGUUGAAUGAUGAAACAAAAAACAAAAAAUAGGUGCUAAAAAACACACCCAUUCACACAGUGUGAUAUUAUUUAAAGAAAAGUUAAAAUAUACCAAAAUAUGACAUGACACAUUAUGUACAGGUACAUACUAUGUAGCAAAAGAAUAUUUAAAAUGCAUGUGAUUGUAAACAUGCAAGUUUGGAUAAUGGUUACACUUUCAUUUGGGCAUGAAGGAACAUACAAUCUGGGAGGAACACAUAGGGAACUUGAAAUUUGUUGAUAGUGUUUUAUUUAUUAAAAUGGAAGCAGGUACAGAAGUGCUCACUUUUUACAUAGUUCACAUGAUUUGAUAACAAAAUUUAAACCUAAAAUGCAGAAAAGAAAGAGAGUUUUACAAAGUAGGAUGCAGUUAACAAUAACAAAGGAAGAUGAGAAAUAGAAAAUGACAAUUGAAUUUGACAGCCAGUAGUUAAUUAAUGACAUUUAGAAGAGGAAUUUUAGUAAGUACAGGGGAACUGAGUUAGAUUUUUAAAAAAUGGAAUGUGUAAAAUUCCACAUUUACAUUCUAAACAUUACACUAUUUUUGUUGUGCUAUUCACUCUAGGAAAUUGCCUUAUAAUGAGGAGAAAUAAAUAAAUUUUACAUUCUGUAGUAAUUAGAGGAAAAGAUACUAAUGAGAUGAUAACUGCUCUAAUUCAUCUAAUAAAAUAUUUUUGAUUGGGUUAGUUUAUUAUAGGAAUCAGCUAUAAAAUAUUAAUCAUUUCUCACUAGUAUAUUAGAAAUAACUCUUAAAUCUGUUAAAGGUACAUAAAUUCUAGUGGGCACCUGAAUGUAAAAUAAUGAAAAGUAAAAAGACUCUGAAGAGAAAUUUUUUUUUAAAUUUAGGAAGCCAGUAAACCAUUUUCAAAAGAGUAUUUGUUAUGUUCUAAUAUUUGCGUCUCCCCGAAUUCAUAUGUUGAAACUCUAACCCGUAAGGCGAUGGCAUUAGGAGCCUUUGGGAAGUUAUUAGGUCAUGAGGGUUCCUCUUGCAUGAAUAGGAUUCCUGCCCUUAUAAAAAUGGCCCAAGAGAGCUCGCUGGCCCUUUCAGCCACAUAAGGACACAGUGAAAAAACGUUUAUAAACCAGGAAGUGGGCCCUCACCAGACACUGAACCUGUUGGCACUUUGAUUUAGAACUUCCCAGUCUCCAGAGCUGUGAGAAAUAAAUGUUGGUUGUUUAUAAGCCACACAGCCCAUGGUAAUUUGUUAUAGCAGCCUGAACAGGCUAAGACAGUUAUGUAAAUAUUACUCUUCCAAAAUAUUUUUCUUUUUUUUUUUUUUUUUUUUUGAGAUGGAGUUUCACUCUUGUUGCCCAGGUUGGAGUGCAAUGGCACGAUCUUGGCUCAUCACAACCUCCACCUCCUGGGUCCAAGCGAUUCUCCUG
rnacentral:lncRNA from 1 species